rnacentral:lncRNA from 1 species
AUGUUCUAGUGUAUAGUUAGGAAGAUUGCAUGCGUUCGUUGCGAGAAAAUCCACCCGAGUUUCGCUACCCGGAAAUAGUGCAUUCGGGUGCCGAAAUGCACCCGUUUUGCAUCAUUUUUCGUUCCGGAACCGAAUGCUCAAAAACACUACCAAACAUGUUCUAGGGUAUAAUUAUGAAGAUUGCAUGCGUUCGUUGCGAAAAAAUCCAAUCGAGUUUCGCUACACGGAAAAAGUGCAUUCGGGUGCCGAAAUGCACCCGUUUUGCAUCAUUUUUCGUUCCGGAACCGAAUGCUCAAAAACACUCCCAAACAUGUUCUAGGGUAUAAUUAUGAAGAUUGCAUGCGUUCGUUGCGAAAAAAUCCACCCGAGUUUCGCUACACGGAAAAAGUGCAUUCGGGUGCCGAAAUGCACCCGUUUUGCAUCAUUUUUCGUUCCGGAACCGAAUGCUCAAAAACACUCCCAAACAUGUUUUAGGGUAUAAUUAGGAAGAUUGCAUGCGUUCGUUGCGAAAAAAUCCACUCGAGUUUCGCUACCCGGCAAUAUGCAAUCGGGUGCCGAAAUGCACCCGUUUUGCAUCAUUUUUCGUUCCGGAACCGAAUGCUCAAAAACACUCCCAAACAUGUUCUAGGGUAUAAUUAGGAAGAUUGCAUGCGUUCGUUGCGAAAAAAUCCACCCGAGUUUCGCUACCCGGCAAUAUGCAAUCGGGUGCCGAAAUGCACCCGUUUUGCAUCAUUUUUCGUUCCGGAACCGAAUGCUAAAAAACACUCCCAAACAUGUUCUAGGGUAUAAUUAUGAAGAUUGCAUGCGUUCGUUGCGAAAAAAUCCACCCGAGUUUCGCUACCCGGCAAUAUGCAUUCGGGUACCGAAAUGCACCCGUAUUGCAUCAUUUUUCGUUCCGGAACCGAAUGCUCAAAAACACUACCAAACAUGUUCUAGGGUAUAAUUAUGAAGAUUGCAUGCGUUCGUUGCGAAAAAAUCUAAUCGAGUUUCGCUACACGGAAAAAGUGCAUUCGGGUGCCGAAAUGCACCCGUUUUGCAUCAUUUUUCGUUCCGGAACCGAAUGCUCAAAAACACUCCCAAACAUGUUCUAGGGUAUAAUUAUGAAGAUUGCAUGCGUUCGUUGCGAAAAAAUCCACCCGAGUUUCGCUACACGGAAAAAGUGCAUUCGGGUGCCGAAAUGCACCCGUUUUGCAUCAUUUUUCGUUCCGGAACCGAAUGCUCAAAAACACUCCCAAACAUGUUUUAGGGUAUAAUUAGGAAGAUUGCAUGCGUUCGUUGCGAAAAAAUCCACUCGAGUUUCGCUACCCGGCAAUAUGCAUUCGGGUGCCGAAAUGCACCCGUUUUGCAUCAUUUUUCAUUCCGGAACCGAAUGCUCAAAAACACUCCCAAACAUGUUCUAGGGUAUAAUUAUGAAGAUUGCAUGCGUUCGUUGCGAAAAAAUCCACCCGAGUUUCGCUACCCGGCAAUAUGCAUUCGGGUACCGAAAUGCACCCGUUUUGCAUCAUUUUUCGUUCCGGAACCGAAUGCUAAAAAACACUCCCAAACAUGUUCUAGGGUAUAAUUAUGAAGAUUGCAUGCGUUCGUUGCGAAAAAAUCCACCCGAGUUUCGCUACCCGGCAAUAUGCAUUCGGGUGCCGAAAUGCACCCGUUUUGCAUCAUUUUUCGUUCCGGAACCGAAUACUCAAAAACAAACUCCCAAACAUGUUCUAGUGUAUAGUUAGGAAGAUUGGAUGCGUUCGUUGCGAGAAAAUCCACCCGAGUUUCGCUACCCGGAAAUAGUGCAUUCGGGUGCCGAAAUGCACCCAUUUUGCAUCAUUUUUCGUUCCGGAACCGAAUGCUCAAAAACACUCCCAAACAUGUUCUAGGGUAUAAUUAGGAAUAUUGCAUGCGUUCGUUGCGAAAAAAUCCACCCGAGUUUCGCUACCUGGCAAUAUGCAUUCGGGUGCCGAAAUGCACCCGUUUUGCAUCAUUUUUCGUUCCGGAACCGAAUGCUCAAAAACACUCCCAAACAUGUUUUAGGGUAUAAUUAGGAAGAUUGCAUGCGUUCGUUGCGAAAAAAUCCACUCGAGUUUCGCUACCCGGCAAUAUGCAAUCGGGUGCCGAAAUGCACCCGUUUUGCAUCAUUUUUCGUUCCGGAACCGAAUGCUCAAAAACACUCCCAAACAUGUUCUAGGGUAUAAUUAGGAAGAUUGCAUGCGUUCGUUGCGAAAAAAUCCACCCGAGUUUCGCUACCCGGCAAUAUGCAAUCGGGUGCCGAAAUGCACCCGUUUUGCAUCAUUUUUCGUUCCGGAACCGAAUGCUAAAAAACACUCCCAAACAUGUUCUAGGGUAUAAUUAUGAAGAUUGCAUGCGUUCGUUGCGAAAAAAUCCACCCGAGUUUCGCUACCCGGCAAUAUGCAUUCGGGUACCGAAAUGCACCCGUAUUGCAUCAUUUUUCGUUCCGGAACCGAAUGCUCAAAAACACUACCAAACAUGUUCUAGGGUAUAAUUAUGAAGAUUGCAUGCGUUCGUUGCGAAAAAAUCUAAUCGAGUUUCGCUACACGGAAAAAGUGCAUUCGGGUGCCGAAAUGCACCCGUUUUGCAUCAUUUUUCGUUCCGGAACCGAAUGCUCAAAAACACUCCCAAACAUGUUCUAGGGUAUAAUUAUGAAGAUUGCAUGCGUUCGUUGCGAAAAAAUCCACCCGAGUUUCGCUACACGGAAAAAGUGCAUUCGGGUGCCGAAAUGCACCCGUUUUGCAUCAUUUUUCGUUCCGGAACCGAAUGCUCAAAAACACUCCCAAACAUGUUUUAGGGUAUAAUUAGGAAGAUUGCAUGCGUUCGUUGCGAAAAAAUCCACUCGAGUUUCGCUACCCGGCAAUAUGCAUUCGGGUGCCGAAAUGCACCCGUUUUGCAUCAUUUUUCAUUCCGGAACCGAAUGCUCAAAAACACUCCCAAACAUGUUCUAGGGUAUAAUUAUGAAGAUUGCAUGCGUUCGUUGCGAAAAAAUCCACCCGAGUUUCGCUACCCGGCAAUAUGCAUUCGGGUACCGAAAUGCACCCGUUUUGCAUCAUUUUUCGUUCCGGAACCGAAUGCUAAAAAACACUCCCAAACAUGUUCUAGGGUAUAAUUAUGAAGAUUGCAUGCGUUCGUUGCGAAAAAAUCCACCCGAGUUUCGCUACCCGGCAAUAUGCAUUCGGGUGCCGAAAUGCACCCGUUUUGCAUCAUUUUUCGUUCCGGAACCGAAUACUCAAAAACAAACUCCCAAACAUGUUCUAGUGUAUAGUUAGGAAGAUUGGAUGCGUUCGUUGCGAGAAAAUCCACCCGAGUUUCGCUACCCGGAAAUAGUGCAUUCGGGUGCCGAAAUGCACCCAUUUUGCAUCAUUUUUCGUUCCGGAACCGAAUGCUCAAAAACACUCCCAAACAUGUUCUAGGGUAUAAUUAGGAAUAUUGCAUGCGUUCGUUGCGAAAAAAUCCACCCGAGUUUCGCUACCCGGCAAUAUGCAUUCGGGUGCCGAAAUGCACCCGUUUUGCAUCAUUUUUCGUUCCGGAACCGAAUGCUCAAAAACACUCCCAAACAUGUUCUAGGGUAUAAUUAGGAAGAUUGCAUGCGUUCGUUGCGAAAAUAUCCACCCGAGUUUCGCUACCCGGCAAUAUGCAUUCGGGUGCCGAAAUGUACCCGUUUUGCAUCAUUUUUCGUUCCGGAACCGAAUGCUCAAAAACACUCCCAAACAUGUUCUAGGGUAUAAUUAUGAAGAUUGCAUGCGUUCGUUGCGAAAAAAUUCACCCGAGUUUCGCUACCCGGAAAUAGUGCAUUCGGGUGCCGAAAUGCACCCGUUUUGCAUCGUUUUUCGUGCCGGAACCGAAUGCUCAAAAACACUCCCAAACAUGUUCUAAGGUCUAGUUAGGAAGAUUAGAUGCGUUCGUUGCGAAAAAAUCCACCCGAGUUUCGCUACGCGGAAAUAGGGCAUUCGGGUGCCGAAAUGCACCCGUUUUGCAUCAUUUUUCGUGCCGGAACCGAAUGCUCAAAUACACUCCCAAACAUGUUCUGGUGUAUACUUAGGAAGAUUGGAUGCGGUCGUUCCGAGAAAAUCCACCCGAGUUUCGCUACCCGGAAAUAGUGCAUUCGGGUGCCGAAAUGCACCCAUUUUGCAUCGUUUUUCGUGCCGGAACCGAAUGCUCAAAAACAUUCCCAAACAUGUUCUAGUGUAUAGUUAGGAAGAUUGCAUGCGUUCGUUGCGAAAAAAUCCACCCGAGUUUCGCUACACGGAAAUAGUGCAUUCGGGUGCUGAAAUGCACCCGUUUUGCAUCGUUUUUCGUGCCGGAACCGAAUGCUAAAAAACACUCCCAAACAUGUUCUAGUGUAUAGUUAGGAAGAUUGCAUGCGUUCGUUGCGAAAAAAUCCACCCGAGUUUCGCUACACGGAAAUAGUGCAUUCGGGUGCUGAAAUGCACCCGUUUUGCAUCGUUUUUCGUGCCGGAACCGUAUGCUCAAAAACACUCCCAAACAUGUUCUAGGGUAUAGUUAGGAAGAUUGCAUGCGUUCGUUGCAAAAAAAUCUACCCGAGUUUCGCUACACGGAAAUAGUGCAUUCGGGUGCCGAAAUGCACCCGUUUUGCAUCGUUUUUCGUGC